ensembl:lncRNA
UGAUAAUGUUAACGCAACCCCUAUAUUCAGGUGCUGACAAGAACUUGGCGACAAGUAAAACAGCUCAGACGAGGACUGAAGGAGUCAAUGGUAUGGCAGUUAUUGGAGGCCCGACCUGAUGUGGCAUCUGUGAUAUUUCCAAGAAAGUCAAUGGCUGACUGCAGUACACAGGUUCUCUUAAACAACAUCAUCUGGCCCAUGGAAGAUGAAGAGGGGGACAAUGAACCCCCAUUUACCACCCAAUGCAGAAUUUCAGGGUACCUUAGGAAGUUUGUGGAGACUGCUGAUCAAUGUAAAUUGAAACAGCUGGUCAAAUUCUGGGUGGGCUGGGAGCUGCCAAUGAAGGACACGCAGGUGAAAGUUGUGCAGGCAGAAAACCCUACAUCCUCCACCUGUUUUUGCAUUCUUCGUCUACCAGCUAAUUACACAACCUAUGACCAUUUCAGAAAACACCUAGAAAGCUGUACUGCCACUAGUGAUGUUGGUUUUGGCCU